rnacentral:SRP_RNA from 1 species
GCCAGUGCGGUGGCGAGUGCCUGUAAUCCGAGCUACUCGGGAGGCUGAGGUGGGAGGAUCGCUUGAGCCCAGGAGUCCUGGGCUAUAGUGCGCCAUGCCGAUCGAGUGUCUGCACUAAGUCUGGCAUCAAUACAGUGACCUCCCGGGAUCGGGGGACCACCAGGUUGCCCAAGGAGGGGUGAACCUGCCCAGGUCGGAAACGGAGCAGGUCAAAACUCCGGUGCUGAUCAGUAGUGGGAUCGCGCCUGUGAAUAGCCACUGCACUCCAGCCUGGGCAACAUAGCGAGACCCCAUCUCA